AUACGGAGGGUGCAAGCGUUAUUCGGAAUCACUGGGCGUAAAGGACGCGUAGGCGGGUUGGCAAGUCAGAUGUGAAAUCCUACAGCUUAACUGUAGAACUGCAUUUGAAACUGCUAACCUAGAGUAUGGGAGGGGGUGAUGGAAUUAGUGGUGUAGGGGUAAAAUCCGUAGAUAUCACUAGGAAUACCGAAAGCGAAGGCGAUCUCCUGGAACAUAACUGACGCUAAGGCGUGAAAGCGUGGGGAGCAAACAGGAUUAGAUACCCCAGUAGUCC
rnacentral:rRNA from 1 species